AGGAUAGUAGUUAAUAAUAACAUUUAAUUUGCAUUUAAAAAGUAUUGAAUAAAUCAAUUUAUCUUA
rnacentral:tRNA from 1 species